rnacentral:pre_miRNA from 12 species
CCGAUCGUCAAAUUGGUUGUGGCGUGUUGUCUAGAUUUUCAUAUCACAGCCAUUUUUGACGAGUUGGA